UCACGUGUACUAGUGGGAGGAGGUGGAGUAAAGUGGAUGGUGCCGUGACGCUGGGAGGUGGGGGUGCCAACUGCCACGAGACAUUGCUGGGCCAGGCACUUGAGACGUGGCUUGGAUGCCCACUCACCCUCCACCACACCUCCCUGCCUUACCUGUGUGCUUGAUAGUGUCCCUGGAGCCACUACAGGCGAAAGAUGUCAUCAGAUUCAGAGGAAGAAAAUGGUGUCCAGCGCGAUGCUGAGGACAGUGACGGAGGCAACUACAGCCGUCACUCCCGGUCCCGCUCGCGUUCCCGCUCCUCGGGGCGGUCACCACCAAGGGAUGACGACAUGGAUGAGGAGCAGCAUGGGCAGGACCGCAAGGAGAAUGGGAUGAGGGGCGGAGGGAGUGACGAGUACAGCUCAAAGAAGUACGAUGGGCAGAGAAAUGCCAGUCGCUCUAAAUCCCCAGAGAACAAGGACGCCAUGGAGUGGUCCGCACCCCCUGCCACGGACGACAACAAGAGGGCCUCACGUAGCCGCAGCAAGAGCAAGCCCAGGGACCAGGAUGUUGCCAAGGAGCAGAAGUCAAGCAGCAGCUCCUCCAAGAAGAAGUCACGCUCCAGGCGGUCACGCUCUCGCUCCAGAAGCAAGAGGAGGUCAAGGAGUCGUAGGCGCACAAGGUCGCGUUCCCGAUCCUACAAUUCUAGGUCCCGGAGAAGAUCCCGUUCUAGGUCACGGAGGAGGUCACGAUCACGGUCUCGCAGAAGAUCGCGCUCAAGGUCAAGGUCAAGGAGUGGCACACCUGUGGAUGGGGCUCGACUCCAUGUGGCUGAGCUGGAUGUGGACACCCGUAAACGUGAUCUUGAGCGUGUGUUUGAGAAGUACGGCCGGCUGAGGGAAAUCUGGAUGGCCCGCAAUCCUCCGUGCUUUGCCUUUGUGGUGUACGCUCACCAGAAAGAUGCUGACCGUGCUCUUAAAGAGACAGAUGGCAUCACAAUUGGCCACUGCCGCAUUAAGGUGACCCAAGCCAGGCCACGGGUGCGGGGAGGUCGGAUGAGAGGUGGCUAUGACCCCAAUUUACGCUGCUAUCAGUGUGGUGAACUUGGUCACUUCUCCCGUAACUGUACUGACACCAAGUUUGGCUACAAGCGGCCUCCCACACCACCAGGGGUGACCUUUUCGCUUCUUCACAGCAUGGAGACGACGGGGAAGCGAAAGGGCAAGUUUCCUUAGGUGCUGUGGGGCAAGGUUCCUUAGGUGCUGAGGGUGUGUUAUGGUUUGGUAAUGUGGUCAUUGGUUGGGUAAUGGGGAGAGGAAGCCGCUCCAGUGUAGUGCCGGAAUGAUGAUGGUGGUUCUGCGGGGCUCAGUGAUGGGAGAGUCACGUCCCCCCCCCGCUCACUCACACACUCACUCCGCAUGAUGUAAGUCUACCCCACCACGCCAUCUCUCUCCUUUAGAAAUGUGAUAUGGCGGGGUCCACAGCUUUAGGGUGUUGUAAUUUGAGUGGUGUGGUGUUAGUGUGUUACUCUUGUCCGGUGAAGAAGGCAGCAGUGGUGUGAUAUCCAACAUGGGACAUGGUGCUAAACGGACUACGAUAUGGGGUGAAGUCGCAUCCUGCUUUGGCAAACAAAAGUAGCCGUCACAUAUCCCCUUAAUUUUCAGAGUGAGGGAGAGUUACCACCCUCGACUUGUUUGAUGUGGAGGGAGUAGAUAUGGUCCCACCGCCGGGGACGCCACCGCUCACGCUCCAGGUCACGGUCUCGCUACCGCAGCCGCUCCAGGUCUCGGUCGUGAGGCCCUAGAGUUGUGGGACCAACUUGCCAAAAAGGACGAAGGUACACUGGACUGCCAGCGCCGACCUUCAGAGCAGUUGUGUCGGUGGUUCGUUGAAGGUGAAAUCCGGACUAUCAAUAAAUCAUUCAGUGGUAGAAACCCUCAGUUCUGUUUUGUCUGCCUAUGAUGUAAGUUGGCAAGUUCUAGCACAAAGAAAGAUUUAGGACCUUGCCUUCACUUGAUCACUCACUCUAAGACCGGUCAGUUUAAGAUUAUUAUGCCUGUUUCUGUCUUCUGUUUUGUUAAUCAGCCUGGGAACACCCAACCACACACUUUAUUUCAUAUUUUUCUUUACAUUUUUUUCAGUUUUGCCUGCCUUUGAAUUUUCUGUUUGUAAGUUAGGAGUAUGUUUUUCAUGAUCAAUCACUAUGAGGUAUUGUACUUGAUGUAAGCAAUGAGAAUAUAAAGUAAAUAAAUAAAAAUUAACUACUGUCUUA